rnacentral:rRNA from 1 species
UACGAAGGGGGCUAGCGUUGCUCGGAUUGACUGGGCGUAAAGGGCGCGUAGGCGGUUCGUACAGUCAGACGUGAAAUUCCUGGGCUCAACCUGGGGGCUGCGUUUGAUACGUGCGGACUUGAGUGCGGAAGAGGGUCGUGGAAUUCCCAGUGUAGAGGUGAAAUUCGUAGAUAUUGGGAAGAACACCGGUGGCGAAGGCGGCGACCUGGUCCGAUACUGACGCUGAGGCGCGAAAGCGUGGGUAGCAAACGGG